GUAGGAGCCGGCUUGCUGGCGAUGCAUCCAACUCGGUGUGUCAGGAACACCGUGGUGAUGCAAUCGCCAGCAAGCCGGCUCCUAC
rnacentral:misc_RNA from 1 species